GACGAACCGUGCGAACGUUGUUCGGAAUCACUGGGCUUAAAGGGCGCGUAGGCGGGCCAUAAAGUCGGGGGUGAAAUCCUCCAGCUUAACUGGAGAACUGCCUUUGAUACUGAUGGUCUCGAGUAAGGUAGGGGCAUGCGGAACUGAUGGUGGAGCGGUGAAAUGUGUUGAUAUCAUCAGGAACUCCGGUGGCGAAGGCGGCAUGCUGGACCUUCACUGACGCUGAGGCGCGAAAGCUAGGGGAGCGAACGGG
rnacentral:rRNA from 1 species